AACGAACGCUGGCGGCAGGCUUAACACAUGCAAGUCGAGCGCCCCGCAAGGGGAGCGGCCGCCGGGUGCGUAACGCGUGGGAACGUACCUUUUGGUUCGGAACAACUCCGGGAAACUGGAGCUAAUACCGGAUAAGCCCUAACGGGGAAAGAUUUAUCGCCGAAAGAUCGGCCCGCGUCUGAUUAGCUAGUUGGUGAGGUAACGGCUCACCAAGGCGACGAUCAGUAGCUGGUCUGAGAGGAUGAUCAGCCACACUGGGACUGAGACACGGCCCAGACUCCUACGGGAGGCAGCAGUGGGGAAUAUUGGACAAUGGGCGCAAGCCUGAUCCAGCCAUGCCGCGUGAGUGAUGAAGGCCUUAGGGUUGUAAAGCUCUUUUGUCCGGGAAGAUAAUGACUGUACCGGAAGAAUAAGCCCCGGCUAACUUCGUG
rnacentral:rRNA from 1 species